rnacentral:rRNA from 1 species
AGCUUGAAGGAUACAUUUUAAGUGAGUUCUGCCCAGCGUAUUAUUAGCGGCCGCAGUACCUUGACUGUGCUAAGGUAGCAUAAUCAAUUGGCUUUUAAUUGAAGUCUGGAAUGAAAGGUUUAUUAAAGAAUUUUCUGUCUCUUUUUAGUUUUUAUGAAUUUAUUUAUUAAGUGAAAAUACUUUAUAUUAGAAAAAAGACGAGAAGACCCUUAGAAUUUUUAUUAAAAGCUUUUUAUAAAUCUUUUAUUUUUGUUGGGGCGACAAUGAAACAAUUUAAACUUUCAAAAAAAACAAGUCAUCUUUUUGUGUGAUAAAAUUACCUUAGGGAUAACAGCAUAAUGAUUUAUAUAGCUUAUGACCUCGAUGUUGGACUAGGAACUAGAAGAUUAACCGUCAAAUUAGAUUGUUCUGUUCGAACAUUUAUU